rnacentral:rRNA from 1 species
UACGUAGGGUGCAAGCGUUAAUCGGAAUUACUGGGCGUAAAGCGUGCGCAGGCGGUUGUGCAAGACAGAUGUGAAAGCCCCGGGCUCAACCUGGGAAUUGCGUUGGAGACUGCAAGGCUAGAAUCUGGCAGAGGGGGGUAGAAUUCCACGUGUAGCAGUGAAAUGCGUAGAGAUGUGGAGGAACACCGAUGGCGAAGGCAGCCCCCUGGGUCAAGAUUGACGCUCAUGCACGAAAGCGUGGGGAGCAAACAGG